CAGCUGUGUUUCUCACUUGGGAUUCCUCAUGCAGUUACAGCCAGAUGGUGGUUGGGGCUGGAGUCAUCUUAAAGGAUUCUCACUCACAUCUGGUGGCGAGGGCUUCAGUUGGGGCUAUCAGCUGGAUCACUGGUGUCUUGACCUCUUCACACAAUGGUGACUGGGUUCUAAGGGGAUGGAUGUGUACCAGCAACACUUACCAAUGAGUACCUGACCGCUCUUCAUAGCAGAUCCACCUGGCAGCAGGCCAUGAACCACAAGCCUCUCUCCAUCACCCUGCUUUCCGGUUCUUCUCCAGCUCCACUUGGUCUGAUGAAUAAUUCCAACCAGCACUUCCAGAAGCUUGAGCUGCUCUUUGGCUUUGAUAACAGUUAGCUUUUUGGGGUUUACAUAAACAUUCACAUCUUUGUACCGCUGUUGGACAAUGACUCCUGUCUUCUGAUUGGACUGAUGCUUUAGAAUGGAUACUGGUCCAUUGUCAUUGCUAUUUUUUUUAUUGCAGCGCUUGGGUAAAAGUCUUUUCCUUCUUAAAAUUUUGGUAAACUGCUUGAGUUUGGGUUCAUACUUUUUUCUUUCUUUGUAAUCAUCUUCAAUGAUAAUCUCAUUUUCACUGAACCUGACAUGGUUCACAGUUGGUGUCUCAGGAAGGAGGCUUUCUUCUUCAUCCUCACUCAAUUCCAAAUAAAACAGCUCUCCAUUUUUCUGCACACUGUCCAGCCAUUCAGGCUCAAGAUCA
rnacentral:lncRNA from 1 species